rnacentral:sRNA from 1 species
CCCUAGCCCCGAUAGAGCCGGUAUCCUUUUUGGCUGCUUUUUCUGCAGACAAAAAGAUAUAGGCGAAAGCGGGAAUAGCU